AUGAAAAUGUUACCUUCGUUUGUUACAGCUGAGCUUUCUGUUGGAGCAGUUGUAUUUGAUGAGGUACAAUUGAUUGUUAUAGGGACCAGAGCUCUGAGUGUAUUCUUAGUAAAAACUGCACACUGCCAGUGCAGCGGGUCUGUUUUAGAGUUGGAUAGAUUCACUGUGAGACGUAACAUGGUGUUUUUCUCAGUCAUAGUUUGCUGUUUGACCAGCACUCCUCUGUUCCCCUCCAUCCUGAGCCAGACCAGCGUCACUGAAUCAUUUACUUCAGAAACUUCACAGAUUGAAGUACAAUGAAGCAGCAUGUUCUGGGUGGAUUCCAGGAGGAUGAAAGUGACAGACAGAGAAAGUGAGAGAGAAGAGGAUGUAACUGCAUUAUCCUUUUUAGUACUUACACUUUAUUAUUAUUAUUCAAGAAUGUUUUCAAACAGUGCCAUCAAAUGGCCAUUUCAACAGCAUGCAUGCACAUAUAUGAAGGCACCUAUAAUAUAACAAAUGCAAAAUCAUGAUAAUAUUUGGCUGCCUAUUGAUGCUUUUACAAAUGUGAUUAAAACAACACUAAUAAAAGGAUGCAAUUAUCCAGUUUCAGUCAGUAGGAUUAAUUUUUGAGCUGGUGGUUUAAUGAACGCAGUUACUGUAGAUCUGAGAAUCUCUAAAUGCAUUCUCAGAUUAUAUCUUUUGUGACCAGACAAUGUUUAAUAAAGAAAAUGUUCAUACUUUCUCUGUGAGAUAUUGGUUUGAGGUUCAUAUAUAAAAAUAAAACCUUAUAUGAAAUUGUGUCAUAGGUUUUCCUAAUUGACUGGAGUUAUAUUUUAAGUCUGAAACCUGGACUUGUUGAAAACAAUGGUUGCGUAGGUCAAACUGUCUGAUGUAUCCGGUGUCUGAAAGUCAAGGUAAAUUUAUAGCAAAAAAUAAACUAUUUUGGGGGAAAGUGACAAUUCAACAUAAUUUCUUAUAUGUAAAAAAAUAUAUACUGUUUUGAACUGUACCGCACUUACCUCAUCUCUUUUAUUUAUGUUUCCUUUUCCUGCAGACACAAAGAUAAUUAUCAGAUUAUGCUGAAAUUUUGGAAUUACUGUAUGAAACUGAUCUUACCAUAUCUGUUUCUUCUGAUAUUGCGGUAUAUUUUAUGACUAUUUUCUCUGUUUUCUGGUGUGCUGCGCUCUACUGGAAGAGGAUGAAGGAAAAUAGAUCAACACAUUUUUUGGAUAUCUUGUUAACAAUAGGCAACAUGAUGCUAGGUUUGCCGGAGGGUUCCUGUACUGAUACUAUGAAAAAUAUUUUGUUGAUUUAAAUACCUCUUUCAUGUCUCAUAUGGUUGAUAUUCAUAUAGACUGGUUCAGACUCCUGAGGGUUAGAGUGCACUGAAAUGAUGGCAAACACAGCAAGAGUUACACUGUACUUACACUUACACUUUUCUUACACUUUUUCUACAGAAAGAUUUCUAAUUUUUAAAGAUCUGAUUGUUUUUGUACCUGACUUCCGUUUCCUGUAGCAGUAGUACAAUAGAGCUCCAAGCAGUAUCCCAGUAAAUAGAGUCAAAACACAGCAAAAUAGUUUGUUGAUUACUGUAAGUAAAGGAAGACUUUUAAAAAAAAAUUUAAUUGUUAAUUACAUCUUGAGGAUGAGCUAGAACAUUUACAUUGUACAUCUUGAGCUCACAAUUCCAUUCUGAGUUAAGGUGAAAAUACAGUGAAUUAAUGGAUGAAAAUGUUACCUUUGUUUGAGGUACAAUUGAUUGUUAUAGGGACCAGAGCUCUGAGUGUAUUCUCAGUAAAAACUGCACACUGCCAGUGCAGCGGGUCUGUUUUAGAGUUGGAUAGAUUCACUGUGAGACGUAACAUGGUGUUUUUCUUAGUCAUAUUUUGCUGUUUGACCAGCACUCCUCUGUUCCCCUCCAUCCUGAGCCAGACCAGCGUCACUGAAUCAUUUACUUCAGAAACUUCACAGGUAAGAUCCACUGACUGAAUCCUCAACACACCAUCAGGAGACUCCACUGAGAUGGAGAUCAACAAUAACAUGAAUGACAUGCAGUAAACACAUCAGACUGAAUAAGCUUCUUUUUUGCAAUAAAAAUCUUUUAUCUGCACUGUUUGUUCACUUCACUGAUUUGCACUCUGUCUGCCCUGUGCCUUAUGCUGCUUUAUUUAACUUUAUUUUAAAUUUUAUUAUGUAUUUUUUACAUUCCCUGAUUGUAUAGUUGUUUCUUAUAUUUUAUAUUUGGUCUAGAUUUUUAGGCUCUGUUAUCUAUGUUAUCUGUAUGCACUGGGGGUCUGAGAGUAACGCAAUUUCAAUUCUCUGUAUGUAUGUACUGUACAUGUGGAAGAAUUGACAAUAAAGCAGACUUGACUUGACUUAAAAAAAUAUUAUUAUUUUAGGGGGGAAGUCGUGGCCUAAUGGUUAGAGAGUUUGACUCCUAACCCUAAGGUUGUGGGUUUGAGUCUUGGGCCGGCAAUACCACGACUGAGGUGCCCUUGAGCAAGUCACUGAACCCCCAACUGCUUUCUCAGGCGCCGCAGCAUAAUUGGCUGCCCACUGCUCCAGGUGUGUGUGUGUGUGUGUGUGUGUGUGUGUGUGUGCGCGUGCAUGCGUGUGUGGAUGGGUUAAAUGCAGAGCACAAAAUCUGAGUAUGGGUCACCACACUUGGCUGAAUGUCAAAUCACUUUGUUAACUUAUGUAUUUCACAACCAUCUGAUUGUGCGUAGUAUUGUUAUUGCAUAGUUUGUUGUUUCAGUAAUACACCUGUAUGUUCCACUAUAAUUGAAGUUCAUAGGUAAGAUGUGAAAGAUAAAAGCUUGACUAUUGUAUGUUUUCUGAAGAACCUCUUCCUGGUUUAAUUGGUCCUUUUAUUUGAACUUCUCCUCCAUUUUCAACAGCUAUCAGAUCAAUCAGUGUGUUAGAUUUUUACUCCCAGGUCCACUUCCAGUACUUACUUGGAGACUUGCAGAUCAGUGACACAUUGGUAUUACUGGAGCUUUGACUGGAGCUUUGACUGGAAAUGCUUUGACUUUUACUAUUUCCAUCUGAAUCUGGAAAACAAUAUGGUAACUUGGUGACUUUCAGUAGUAGAUCUAUCUCAGUUAGUAGCAUGGGUCAUUUGAAAACAUAUUUGUGAAAAGCAACGUCUUUAGGCCUAAA
ensembl:lncRNA